ensembl:lncRNA
UGCCUUUCUUGCAAAUGAUGGAACUAACUGACCUCAUUUUUCUUAUGUUUCACAAUUUCAGGUUAGCAGACUUCUGAGCUGAGGUUCAGCCAUGGGAGUGAAGAAGGGUUUGUUAGAACUUCUCCACCUAGUUAAUGACUGGCUGCAGCGAGUGUACAGUCUCCUUUAAUAUGAAAGGAAACACCAUGCUUGCAGCUUGCAAAACAGGAUGACAAGGCUGAAGAUUAAAAAGGGGGAGAAAAAAAAAAGGAGAAACGAAGAAAAAAGAAGACAAAGGAGGUUUCACGGGUGUGCUUUCCCCAAGGUGAAGCCGUUCCAGGAGCACGGGCAAUGCCUCCGCAGCGCUCCGGGCGGAGUUGGAACCGAGAAGGAAAGAAAAAACUCUACGCACGCCUGUAAAAAAAGUACUGGUAGGAGUCAGCGCAGUGCAAUGAGGGUUCAUGUGACUGAGACAUUCCAGCAGUCAUGGUAAGCCCUGAGGUGUGAUACGGG